AGAACGAACGCUGGCGGCAUGCCUAACGCAUGCAAGUCGAACGCUCUUGGGGCUUCGGUCUCAGGGGAGUGGCGCACGGGUGAGUAGCGCGUGGGAACCUGCCCUGUUGUGGGGGAUAACCGAGGGAAACUUCGGCUAAUACCGCAUAAGCCGGUUGUCUUGAAGGAGAUGGCCGGGAAAGAUUUAUCGCGACAGGAGGGGCCCGCGUCGGAUUAGCUAGUUGGUGGGGUAACGGCCCACCAAGGCGGUGAUCCGUAGCUGGUCUGAGAGGAUGAUCAGCCACACUGGGACUGAGACACGGCCCAGACUCCUACGGGAGGCAGCAGUGGGGAAUAUUGGACAAUGGGCGCAAGCCUGAUCCAGCAAUGCCGCGUGAGUGAUGAAGGCCUUAGGGUUGUAAAGCUCUUUCGCCCGCGACGAUGAUGACGGUAGCGGGAGAAGAGCCCGGCUAACUCGUGCCAGCAGCCGCGGUAA
rnacentral:rRNA from 1 species